CUUGUGUUGAAAGUCUUUCUAGUAUAGGACUCAACAGAAAAUCAAUUCCCCAAAUGCCCAUAAGAAUUCCUACUUCAAACCCACAGACUUCAAAUUACUUCAAGAACAACUUGACUGAGCCCUGGAAUGAGUAAUUUUUCUUAGAAGCAGUGGCGGAGCCACUGAGGAACACAGGCGUGCCCUCCCCAGCAUGGGCUCACUGGUCCUCAAUAGAAAAACCACUGCCACAUCCACUGAACAGGCUCUCGUUGUGGUGGGUUGUGUCACCUCACAAUGUCACUGUUGCUGAACACCCAUCGCCUCUGUGUUGUGGAGCAGUUCGAGACACACAGCAGUGUCUCUGAGUGGCUCUGGGUGAAGGACCAUUUCCUAGGUGAGAGGCACAUCUCAGCACAGCUGACUAAUCAGGCUCAGCAAUUCCAUUUGGCAUCUUCUCUGAUCACCCCUGUGACCACCCAGAAUAACCCCAUCACCAGACCCAGUUCAGCUCCAUGAUAACCAAGAAGCAGAUCCAGAGACAACUGCCCUGCAUGGUGCCUGUAUCUGAUCCUCCUUGGCAGGUAGUGAGCAGCACAGCAUGGAAAAAGCCAGGGCAGCAUGUGGCCAGCUGCCCUGCAGCCCCAGAUAGCUCCUGGGCCUUGGGAAGUCAUUCUGAAAGGGGAAGCUGGUCCCUUUGAGGUCCCUGGAGGGAAGGGUGAACAUGCAUUGCAACAGCUCUGGCAUCCAGCAGCAUGCCAUACAUCUUUUCACCCAACCUGUAUGACAGAGGCCCCCUCCUGGGGCACAUGUCCCAUACCUAAAGGGUCCUGUCCUGGUCAGACCUCAUCCUGAGCUCUGGUUGGGGAGGGGCACCAUGGGCCU